UACGGGGGGGGCAAGCGUUGUUCGGAAUUACUGGGCGUAAAGGGCUCGUAGGCGGCCAACUAAGUCAGACGUGAAAUCCCCAGGCUCAACCUGGGAACUGCGUCUGAUACUGGAUGGCUUGAAUCCGGGAGAGGGAUGCAGAAUUCCAGGUGUAGCGGUGAAAUGCGUAGAUAUCUGGAGGAAUACCGGUGGCGAAGGCGGCAUCCUGGACCAAUACUGACGCUGAGACGCGAAAGCGUGGGGAGCGAACAGG
rnacentral:rRNA from 1 species